rnacentral:lncRNA from 1 species
CAUACAUACAUACAUACACACAUACCUUACUAAUCAAACUUGCAAAAAGUAGAAAAAUGGUAAAGAUAAAAUUAAGACUAUUCAUUGGUAGAAUUCCAUGGGGCACACCUCCUUUGUCCCAAAUCCACCAACACAAAAAAGUAUCUAAAAGGUAAUUUUGGCUUUCACAUCCUCAACACCCAAAGGAAGUACCUCUCCACCCAUUUUGUCACAUUCAUGGAUGUUGUUGGCUACACUUUGCCAUAGUGAUAAAGCCCUUCACAUGAU